GCGAUGGCGCCCGUUAAAAGCGAAGUAUGGAAAUUUUUUAAUAAAAUAAGCAAUAACUACGUUAAAUGUCAACUUUGCUGCAAAAAUUUAAAAUUUUCUAAUAACACAUCAAAUAUGUUGCAGCAUUUAAAAUUAAAGCAUGUAACUGUAGCCUGCAAAUUGGUGACUCUGCAAUCUAGGAGUAAAAACAAUGUUUCCCUAAGUGAUGAUGACACUGACACCAUGAUUGAUAUGCCGAGUUGCAGCAGCAAACCAAUUAAUGAAAGCCCUUUGAGUGAGGGGCCAAGCUUCAGCAGCAAUUUACCGAAUGAAAGCAGCAUGAGAGAGCUACCCAGCUCUAACAGUAAAAAUCGUCAACCCUCAUUUCUAAAGUCUUCAAAAAUAUUGAAAUCUUUUCGCUUCAUGGCUCAAACAACCAAAAGCUGUAGCAUGAAAUAGUGGAAAUGGUUAUCAAGGAUAAUCUACCUUUUGACUUUGUUGAAGGUAAAGACUUCUUAAGUUUCAUGAAACAACAUUUUCCUCAUUAUAAAGUCCCAACAAGAAAUACCAUCAAGGCUCACAUUGAAAAAAUGUACGAUGAAGAAAAGAAAAUGUGUAGCGAUGCUAAAAACUUUUUCAUAUUUGAGUUUAACGACAGAUAUCUGGACUGAAGUAGAAGUGAAUAGCAUGCUUGGUGUGACCAUUCAUGGUGUAAAUGGGACGAAGCAAUUUAAUGGAACAAUUGGCGUUUAUAAAUAAACGGAAGCACAUACUGCAUCACAUAUUUCCGAAGUUCUCAUUGCUGCUUUGAAAGACUUUUCUAUUGACGGAAAAUAAGUAAUGGCUGUAGUGACCGACAAUGGUGCAAACAUCGCAAAAGCAGUACAUGAUUCAUUUGGCAAAAAACGCCAUAUUCCUUGUUUUGCAUACACCCUCAAUAUGUGAAAACUCACUGAACAGUCCUGAAGUAAAUGCAGUUGUUGUAAAAUGCAAAGAAAUAGUUAAGUGGCUAAAAAGAAGUGUUAAAGCUAAUGAUGAUCUUCGAAAUGUGCAAGCUGCUGCCGGAGUAGCUGAAAGCAAAAUGCUAAAGCCAAUUUUGGACGUGAAAACACAUUGGAGUUCGACCUACUACAUGCUUGAACGGUUCAUUAAACUAUGUUCAUAUAUUAACCAAAUACUGACAUCGAACAUUCCUUUUUGCUAGCUGCAUCAACAUUACUCGACCCGAGAUUUAAAAUAAUUCAUUUCAAAGACCUAUUAGGGUUGUCUCCAGUUAUAAAGUUUUUACGUACUGAAAUAACAGUUGCAGAUGAUACUAUGGAAACGGGCAGCGAGUCGUCAGUGGAAUCGGUAGAGAAUGAGUUUGACCUCUGGGCUCCUCACAAAACUCUAGUGCACAAAAGAAAGAGGAAGGACAACGAUUUUACAUCUCCACAAGAUGAAUUGAUCUUUUAUUUGAAUUGUCAGGUAUUAGAACUAAGUCGAAACACUAUUGAUGCCCAAAGCUGUGCGGACUUUCAAAAAAGUAUUGUCAUAUACUUGGUUCCUCAGUACCAGCUGAGCGGCUUUUCUCAAAAGCGGGUGCAACUGCGACCGAAAAACGCAAUCGUUUGACAACAAAACGUUUAUCGAAAUUGCUUUUUCUUCAAACUUGGUUGAACAGAGAAUAAAUUUUCUUGACUUCAAUGAAUAUAUUUUCAUUUAUGCUAAGACAAAUGAAUUUUUAAUAUGAUAUUUUUUGAUUUUAUUUCCGUUUUUGUUUUUGUGUAUAUACCAACAUAAUUUGAAUGUCAGAAAUAAGAACAUAGUCUCCUAUAUUUUAUUGGUUUUAUUUUUACGCAAAUUUGCAAAACGUAGUCUUUCCAGCAAGAAGCAAUUCUUUUACUUUAAGAUUGCUGUACAUAUUUUGAAAAAUUUAAUGUGAUUGUGCUACUUAACUUCAAAUAUAGGCCAUUUUCUCUUUUAGGAUAUGUCUGGGACUCUGUGAUUGAGCAUUAUAAUACAAGAUUCGGCGCUGAAACUUAGUGGUGGUCUUUAUGCAAUUUAGUAUUAUUUAAAAAUUUAAAAAUUAAUAAUUGUAAUUAUUGUUUUAUAUCUUGCAAUAAAUCAUUUGAUUAUUUAAUCGAUAAAAAAAAAUUUGCCAUCCCUAGCAAUAUGUUGAAGGACUGAUGCGAACGACAUUGUGUCGUUAGAAGAAAAUCAGAGCCCUACCAGCCUUUCUUAAAAACUAUCGUAAAUAUAUAUGUAUAUCUUUGUAUCUUUAGAAUUGUUAUUAUUUUAAAUCGACAAAAGCUAUGUUGCCACGUUCGUCACUUUUUUAUGGGUUUCGUAUGUUUGCGAAGUUGUUUUGUGGCUAAAAUAUUUACACGUGUGCGCAUAUGUAUACAAGUAUACUUGUAUGUAUGUAGUUAGGUAGUUUGGUGUAUGCAUUAUUUGUUCGGCAAUGUCAAGUACCUAAAUUAAAUAGAAUGCAUUAAAACAACCUUGAGUUGGAACACUUGAAAUGCACUAUCACUACAACAAACAAUCCUAAACAAACAAGUAUCAAAACAACAUUGAUUUUGAAUACGAUAACAACCUUAUCUUAAAACAAAACAAAUAUAUCUAAGCAAACAAUAUACUUGUAUAUGUAUACAAACCUAAACAAAUAAUAGAAUCUGUAUCUAAAGAAACUAUCAACUAGUAAAAAGUAAACAUUCUAGUUAGUAUAAAUAGAAAUAAGAAACAUGUAAUAAGAGUCUUAAGAUUAUAAAUAAAGAGUACACAUUUCGGUGCAGCUCAAAAUAUAUUCUUUUGACUAAUUUUUACUUCUGGUAAAAAUUAAUUCGCGCACAUUUUAUUACUGAUAACUGAUAAUAACGUUAUUUGAAUGUGUGAAGGUGCUUUUUUAUCGAAAGCCAAUAUUGACAGUAUGCACGAUUCAUACUGUACACUCAAUACUCUUAAUUUGGGACCACCCCUUGUCUAUACUAUUCUGAUAUGUAUGUAGAACCUGCGCCUACGUAUUACAUUCUUAACUCCGUCAUUUUCGAGACUAUCGUUCAGCAUUACUUUACAAUGUUAGCUUUUUCCUCUUUUAUCCUUACUCUCUUAUUAUAGCUUUGGUUUCACUCUUUCAAUAAAAAAUUUUGCGGUUAGCCCCUUUACGUUGAACCACAUCUGCUCGGAUCAUCAGUUCUAAUACAGUUGUCAUAAAGCCUUUCCACUACCAUUACCAUAAAACGAACACGUCACUCCGUCGCAAUGACCAUUCUUAUGGAAAUACUCUCUAUAGCAUCCAUGUACCGUUCGAAAUUGCGUCGUCUAGAAAUCCGUGUUUCGAAACAUUUUAAUGAGUUUUCAUUAGUGUUUUGAGCUUAAACACCGCGAUAACGGAAAUCACUGGCUACUGGGCCUUAGCCUGAACGGCGUAUUCUCUAUUUUGUGUACUUUAUGCGUUAACACAAAUUCCUACAGAGAUGCCGAAUAAAACGCAAUAUAUCGCUUGGAUUUGGACCACCUAUUUUGGCCAUAAUUUGCGGCAAGGCCAAAAUUACCAGUGCAGUCGGUGUUUUAAUAGUGUGCAUGUCAACGUUCAGAGCAAUGGUACGGCUCGGGUUUCUGUCCCGCUAGAUGGAAUUUAGACGAAUCUGACCAGUUUUUAUUUUUCUGUGCUGUAGCUGCACAAAUAAUACAUAAAUAUGUUUUGCAACAUUUGCCACAGGAGUUUCAUUUGCAUAUCGUAUUAUUUUCGUUUCUUUCUACAGAUGGAAACGUAAUAUUCCGUCAAUGAGAAUAUUCCAUAACAGUGGUUCCAACACGAAUCCUUGUAGCACUCUACCAGUUACAGUGUGACUUUUGACCCCUUAAUCCCUUUGAUAUAAUAGUAGAAUAUCCCACAGAUAGCUCUUAAAUAUCCGUAGUAAAUACACCGGGGAUUUUCAUUUUUUUAAAGCGCGUAUUAUGUGGGGCAAAUGCGCCGAGCUAAGUGCAUUUUCACAUCAAAAGUGAUGAUUGCGGAGUAUUUUUUAAUGGCUUGCAUCCACCUUGUACCUUCAAAAGCUCUCUCUGCAAGUCCAGUCAGCUUUUUUAUUUCGUCGAUGGUAGAGC